rnacentral:rRNA from 1 species
CGGGGGGCAGCAGUGAGGAAUAUUGGUCAAUGGGCGCAAGCCUGAACCAGCCAUGCCGCGUGAAGGAUGAAGGUUCUAUGGAUUGUAAACUUCUUUUAUUUGGGAAUAAACCUCUUGACGUGUCGAGAGCUGAAGGUACCAAACGAAUAAGCACCGGCUAACUCCGUGCCAGCAGCCGCGGUAAUACGGAGGGUGCAAGCGUUAUCCGGAAUCAUUGGGUUUAAAGGGUCCGCAGGCGGACUUAUAAGUCAGUGGUGAAAGCCUACAGCUCAACUGUAGAACUGCCAUUGAUACUGUAAGUCUUGAAUUCGGUCGAAGUGGGCGGAAUAUGACAUGUAGCGGUGAAAUGCUUAGAUAUGUCAUAGAACACCGAUAGCGAAGGCAGCUCACUAGGCCUGGAUUGACGCUCAGGGACGAAAGCGUGGGGAGCAAACAGGAUUAGAUACCCGAGU